UACGAAGGGUGCAAACGUUGCUCGGAAUUAUUGGGCGUAAAGCGCACGUAGGCGGCUUAGCAAGUCGGAAGUGAAAUCCCACGGCUCAACCAUGGAAGUGCUUUCGAAACUGCUGAGCUUGAGUACUUAAGAGGAUCGCGGAAUUCCCGGUGUAGAGGUGAAAUUCGUAGAUAUCGGGAGGAACACCAGUGGCGAAGGCGGCGAUCUGGGAAGAUACUGACGCUGAGGUGCGAAAGCGUGGGUAGCAAACAGG
rnacentral:rRNA from 1 species